AGGGUCUUAAAAAGUUCACGAUCUGAUCCAUAGGGUGUUAACCCUCGGAGGACGGCUAAGAAUGUCCAUUAAAAGGAGCGAUGGGGUCGUUUUUCAAGCACGAAUAGAACGAUCUAAAGGGGUUGUGCAACCUAGAGAGAUGGCCAUAUCUUUUUGAUGAAUGUGGUAUCGAGGUUCGGUUUAUUUGGAAAAGAGGUCAAUCUUAGGGGAGACCAUUCGAAUGGUUGAAUUGAUGACUUCGCUUCGAUCUCUUCGACUGAGCAUAUCUUUUUGAUGAAUGCAGUAUCGAGGUUCGGUUUAUUUGGAAAAGAGGUCA
rnacentral:lncRNA from 1 species